rnacentral:lncRNA from 1 species
GUUGCAGGAUGAUGAAAUUAUUUACUGUAUUCUCAAUGAUACUUGAAAACUCACAGGCCUUGUUUAGAUUUAGGUAAGGUACAAAGGCACAUUUCAACUCGGCUCUCCCUUAAGCCCCUCACAUUCCAGAAUAAUGAGGUUGUCUCUAUUUUGUGUGAUGUCAGGACUUCCCUGCUGGGCUGUGUCCACUCUGAUGAGGCCCUUUUGUCCUGGGACUCAAAUGACUUGGUCUCUUUAGACAAGCUGGGCAGGGAGCCCUGGCUGUCACGUGGCCACUGGACAUGCUAAGUCAGAGAGCCAGGAGACCCCCCAGCUCCAUCCCUAUUUCUAUGCUGGCUGUGUAUCUAACAUGGAUCACCCUGUUAAGAAAGAUGCUGACCUCCUCCCAUUUGGUAUCUUCAGCAGAGAAUGAUAAACACUGUGGAAUAGGAGAGGUGUAAAAACAUCUGAACCAACGAGGAAUUCCAACAAAUGGCCAAGCCUUGGAAACAAUCACCUCCCCAUUUUGGAAGAUAU